CACCAAGAGAUCGGGAUAACACCUGGAAACAGAUGCUAAUACCGGAUAACAACAGAUGAUGCCUAUCAACUGUUUAAAAGAUGGUUCUGCUAUCACUCUUGGAUGGACCUGCGGUGCAUUAGCUAGUUGGUAGGGUAACGGCCUACCAAGGCGAUGAUGCAUAGCCGAGUUGAGAGACUGAUCGGCCACAUUGGGACUGAGACACGGCCCAAACUCCUACGGGAGGCAGCAGCC
rnacentral:rRNA from 1 species